AGUGAACGCUGGCGGUAGGCCUAACACAUGCAAGUCGAACGGCAGCACAGUAAGAGCUUGCUCUUACGGGUGGCGAGUGGCGGACGGGUGAGGACUACAUCGGAAUCUACUUUUUCGUGGGGGAUAACGUAGGGAAACUUACGCUAAUACCGCAUACGACCUACGGGUGAAAGCAGGGGAUCUUCGGACCUUGCGCGAUUGAAUGAGCCGAUGUCGGAUUAGCUAGUUGGCGGGGUUAAGGCCCACCAAGGCGACGAUCCGUAGCUGGUCUGAGAGGAUGAUCAGCCACACUGGAACUGAGACACGGUCCAGACUCCUACGGGAGGCAGCAGUGGGGAAUAUUGGACAAUGGGCGCAAGCCUGAUCCAGCCAUACCGCGUGGGUGAAGAAGGCCUUCGGAUUUUAAAGCCCUUUUGUUGGGAAAGAAAAGCAGCAGGUUAAUACCCCGCUGUUCUGACGGUACCCAAAGAAUAAGCACCGGCUAACUUCGUG
rnacentral:rRNA from 1 species